rnacentral:rRNA from 1 species
GACGAACGCUGGCGGCGUGCUUAACACAUGCAAGUCGAACGGAAAGGCCCUGCUUUUGUGGGGUGCUCGAGUGGCGAACGGGUGAGUAACACGUGAGUAACCUGCCCUUGACUUUGGGAUAACUUCAGGAAACUGGGGCUAAUACCGGAUAGGAGCUCCUGCUGCAUGGUGGGGGUUGGAAAGUUUCGGCGGUUGGGGAUGGACUCGCGGCUUAUCAGCUUGUUGGUGGGGUAGUGGCUUACCAAGGCUUUGACGGGUAGCCGGCCUGAGAGGGUGACCGGCCACAUUGGGACUGCGAUACGGCCCAGACUCCUACGGGAGGCAGCAGUGGGGAAUAUUGCACAAUGGGCGGAAGCCUGAUGCAGCAACGCCGCGUGCGGGAUGACGGCCUUCGGGUUGGAAACCGCUUUCGCCAGUGACGAAGCGUGAGUGACGGUAAUGGGUAAAGAAGCACCGGCUAACUACGUG